AUGGAGAAUAAGAGCACCUCCUCCCAGCUGCCCACUGCACUGAGGCUAGGAAACACUGUCACCACCGAUAAAUCCACUAUAAUUGAGAAUUUCAAUAAGCAUUUUUCUACGGCUGGCCAUGCUUUCCACCUGGCUACCCCUACCCCGGUCAACAGCCCUGCACUCCCCACAGCAACUCCCCCAAGCCUCCCCCAUUUCUCCUUCACCCAAAUCCAGAUAUCUGAUGCUCUGAAAGAGCGGGAAAGUCUGGACCCCUACAAAUCAGCCGGGCUAGACAAUCUGGACCCUCUCUUUUUAAAAUUAUCUGCCGAAAUUGUUGCAACCCCUAUUACUAGCCUGUUCAACCUCUCUUUCAUAUCGUCUGAGAUUCCCAAAGAUUGGAAAGCUGCCGCGGUCAUCCCCUUCUUCAAAGGGGGAGACGCUCUUGACCCAAACUGCUACAGACCUAUAUCUAUCCUACCCUGCCUUUCUAAGGUCUUCAAAAGCCAAGUCAACAAACAGAUUACCGACCAUUUCGAAUCCCACCGUACCUUGUCCGCUAUGCAAUCUGGUUUCAGAGCUGGUCAUGGGUGCACCUCAGCCACGCUCAAGGUCCUAAAUGAUAUCAUAACUGCAAUCGAUAAGAGACAUUACUGUGCACCCGUAUUCAUCGACCUGGCCAAGGCCUUCGACUCUGUCAAUCACCACAUUCUUUUUGGCAGACUCAACAGCCUUGGUUUCUCAAAUGACUGCCUCGCCUGGUUGACCAAGUACUUCUCUGAUAGAGUUCAGUGUGUCAAAUCGAAGGGCCUGUUGUCCGGACCUCUGGCAGUCUCUAUGGGGGUGCCACAGGGUUCAAGUCUCGGGGCGACUCUCUUCUCUGUAUACAUCAAUGAUGUUGCUCUUGCUGCUGGUGAUUCUCUGAUCCACCUCUACGUAGACGACACCAUUCAGUAUACUUCUGGCCCUUCUUUGGACACUGUGUUAACUAACCUCCAGACGAGCUUCAAUGCCAUACAACUCUCCUUCCGUGGCCUCCAACUGCUCUUAAAUACAAAACUAAAUGCAUGCUCUUCAACCGAUCACUGCCUGCACCUGCCCGCCUGUCCAGCAUCACUACUCUGGAUGGUUCUGACGUAG
rnacentral:lncRNA from 8 species